rnacentral:rRNA from 1 species
GUGUCAGCAGCCGCGGUAAUACGGAGGGUGCAAGCGUUAUCCGGAUUCACUGGGUUUAAAGGGUGCGUAGGCGGGCAUGUAAGUCCGUGGUGAAAUCUCCGAGCUUAACUCGGAAACUGCCAUGGAUACUAUGUGUCUUGAAUGUUGUGGAGGUGAGCGGAAUAUGUCAUGUAGCGGUGAAAUGCUUAGAUAUGACAUAGAACACCAAUUGCGAAGGCAGCUCACUACACAAAUAUUGACGCUGAGGCACGAAAGCGUGGGGAUCAAACAGGAUUAGAAACCCGUGUAGUCC